UAAUGGCAGGUCAGCAUACUGCCGUGAAUACGUUCCCGGGCCUUGUACACACCGCCCGUCACACCAUGAGAGUUGGGAAUACCCGAAGCCUGUGAGCUAACGUUAAGAGGCAGCAGUCGAAGGUAGAAUCAAUGAUUGGGGUGAAGUCGUAACAAGGUAAC
rnacentral:rRNA from 1 species